GUUAGCUUCAGCAGCACAUACAUUAAAAGUGGAAGGAUACUGAGAAAAUUAGCAUGGCCCAUGCAAAAGAUGACACACAAAUCCCUAAGAAGUUCUAAGUUGUC